GCUUUGCAAAACUUGUUGCCUACAACCCCCAGUCCCAAUUAAAAGGUGGGGAUCUCCAGGUUCUUCCAAAGCACCGUGUAGCCAUUAGGCUGCCUCACCAAGUAAAUUGAUAAAACAAACGUGAUAAAAUGCAUUUCACGCUUCAGAAAUGUCCCAUCUUGAUACUUUUUAUUAUAUUUUGUUCCCAUGUUUCAAAAGAAAGGCCCUGACCAACCAUAGCUCUUCCGUCAAAUAAAACCAUCAAAUCCAUACAUCUUAGUUUUGGUACAUGAUAAACGCAUAAUUUUACUCACUAAUAACCUUGAAUUAUCAUCUGUUUCUAAGAAAUCUGUUGGAAUCCGAUAUCGAAAGAAUAUAAAGUAAAAGAGUAAUAUAUAAGUGAUUAGGUUGCAACAUUGACUUGAUUAGUUAUCUUGAUGUGUCAAGCAAUCUAAUAACUUAUAUAAGC
rnacentral:misc_RNA from 1 species